UACGUAGGGUGCGAGCGUUGUCCGGAAUUAUUGGGCGUAAAGAGCUCGUAGGCGGUUUGUCGCGUCUGCCGUGAAAGUCCGGGGCUCAACUCCGGAUCUGCGGUGGGUACGGGCAGACUAGAGUGAUGUAGGGGAGACUGGAAUUCCUGGUGUAGCGGUGAAAUGCGCAGAUAUCAGGAGGAACACCGGUGGCGAAGGCGGUUCUCUGGGCAUUAACUGACGCUGAGGCGCGAAAGCGUGGGGAGCGAACAGG
rnacentral:rRNA from 1 species